UACGUAGGGUGCGAGCGUUGUCCGGAAUUAUUGGGCGUAAAGGGCUCGUAGGCGGUCCAUCGCGUCGGGAGUGAAAAGCUGGGGCUUAACCCCAGUCCUGCUUUCGAUACGGGUGACUAGAGGUAGGCAGGGAGGAAUGGAAGUACCUGGUGUAGCGGUGAAAAUGCGCAGAUAUCAGGAGGAACACCAAUGGCGAAGGCAGUCACUCGUGGGACGUGACUGACGCUGAGACGACGAAGCGGUGGGGAGCAAACAGG
rnacentral:rRNA from 1 species